rnacentral:lncRNA from 1 species
CUUGGCUUCCCUCUCACAGUGGAGGUGCCUCAGUGCUCCCAGUUUCUCACACAUCACACCCACCUCCCCCAAAGCUGAAGGAGUUUUAGCCAGGGAGCAAAGUGUGAUGGAGGAGCGGAGCUGGGGCCGCUCAGGACCAGCGGAUGGGUGGAGGUGCAGGAUGUGCUGCUGGGCCCCGGGGCGAGGCUGAGGAAUGCCCCAAUUACAGCACAAUUAUGAGAACUGGAAGCUCUCCACUGCCCUCAGCCAAAGAAACACGCGUGGGGAUGAGGCACAGGACAGUGUUCCCAAGGGAAAGAACAAUCCUGGCCGAUACCGGCCUGGCUCCUUAACGGGUAUAAAUGGGUGUCCUCUGCUGCUCUGCGCCAGAUCCUAGCUGGGGGUGUUCUUUCACUGCGCUCAGCCUAAUCCUCCGAAAAACCCUGCUAAGUCCUGUGCCUCACUGAUAUCCUUUGGCAAUGCGUUUUGCAAGUAAAGCACUCGCC